CGCGACAAAAAGUAAAUUAAAUUUGCCGCGGGAAAACGCUCUUAAUAAGCGCUGAAACGCGAGGUACAAAAGUCACAGGUGUUCCCAUUUCAACUUCACAUUUCGCUCAGUCCCAAUAGUGAGCUGUAUAAAAACAGCUGUGCUUUUCUUCUAGUUCAGUUAACCCAAACAGUGCCGAAAACGUUCGUGAGUGCUCCAGACGCAAACAUGUUUGCGAAGGAGAUUUUAAUUUUCACGCUCGUGGGUUUUGUGUUUUCACAGCAGCCUGCAGCUGUAGAAGACCCAACGGUCCCACCUUCAACCAAUGGCAUCGCUCGGCUGGCGUCUAGCUCGGUGAGGGGGGUGGGCACCCUUCUGGACAGCGGGGCGCACGCGACGGCCUCCGGGGUGGAACUGACGACCAACUCGAUGGCGAACGGGGUGAAGACGCUGGGCGGCGCCGCCGACCUGGCCAACAACGUCCAGCAGAUGAAGUUCGACGCCUUGCGGCAAGCCCGCCACGCGGCCGGUCGCUUCGGGGCGUCUCUCGCGGACCUGAGCAUGGGCGCCCUCACCGGGAUCCUGCGCAGGGGCGCUGAGGCCGUUGAUGCUACCAGGCGCGCUACUGAGUUCGUCCUCGGUGAAUCGGAUAAGGUCCAUGGUGCUAGCAAGAGAGUCGCCAAGUCCCUCGUGUCCAAUACGUCUGGCAGUUUUGUGAAUGUCCUCAACGGGGUUAGCAAUGUCGUCGACAAGGGCGGAGAAGUCCGCGAAGAGGUUGCCGAUACUGCAGGAGCUAUCCACGAUGCCAGUACCGAUUUGGUGAAAGAGGGGGUGCGAACUUGGAAAGACCUUGGUCUAUCGUCCAUAGGAAGCAUUAGAGCAGGCAUGCAGGAGGCAAGGAAAAGGGCCAGAGGAGGACAACUACCAGAUGCAACCACGAGUCCAUCAGCGCCAACACCAGUGAAAGAGGAGCCGAAAAAACCAGCAGAGGAAACCAAACCGAAACCAGGAAAUUGGUUUGGAUGGUGAACGAGAUAUUCAAAUUUGAUCAAGUCGUUUUUUCGAAAUCUGUUCGGGAGUUUUUAAAACAUGCGGCGCUUUUUUCCUGCUUCGUCUGGCAGGCAAUGAAUUGUUUUCAAACAUGACGGGGGAGGGGGGCAACAUAAUUAAAAGCAAUACAUACUUCAAAUUUUUGGACCCUUAAGUUUCUAUGCAGUUGAGAUAAAAUAAAAUGUUAAAUUUUUUCCUCUUUUUGAUCGAAUAAAUAGAAUAAAUUCACAUUUUUUGGUUAACUAUAACAUUAUUAUAUAUAAGGUAGGCAGCCAUUUUGCCAAGUUUAACUGAAUCACACCAACAAUGGGGGAAAAGUAGUUUGGAGUACUUCCAAAUUCUAGUCGUGCAUUAUUAAAGCCCGUUAAAAAUUCAAAGUUGAAAAAAGUUGAGAAAGAAAAAAGUUUUCAAAUGUGUCUUUCACAUGAAGUCCUAUGGAGGAAAUAAACUUCAAAAUAUUUUUCUCGAUGAAAACUUCAUAUGAAACUUGGUGUGUUUCUGUUAAACUCGGCCCGGUUGAUGUCUCAAAGGAAGUUCCUAAAUUGUAUACAUAACUAAAUUUACUAAUGAAGUUACUGUACAAUGAUUAUAAAUAACCUCGAGUUUUCUAUUUUUCAUGUGUUCCUUCAUUUGAGCUUUUGCUACUUUUGAGCCUUUUUAAAAUCUCCUCUCAAAGCGGAUAUGGAAAAAAUUAUGGUAAUUUCAAAUAUAUUUUUGGAUAAUUAUGGUGUCAGCCAUUGGUACAGUUUCACCAGCCAGAACUAUGAUUGCUAUGUGCUACCACAUUUCUGUCUGACCAAACCAUACUUCUAGCUAAUGAAAGUAGACGCCUAUUUGGUGCCAAAAUCAAUCCAAAAUGUAGUUGAAAUUACCGUAAAUUCUUAACCUGAAGGCUCUUUUCGCAGUAGGCAGUCACGUAUCCAGCGUAAAUUCAGAAAGUAUGCAUUGCCAUGCUAAAAAAAUACCGUACCGGCGUUGCCAAAGAGCCUCCCAAAAGUGGCCCCUUUUUUGAAACUCGGGGAUUUCAUUCGUAUGCGGCUUAAAUGAAACCUUAUGAUGAGACAAGCCUCCAGUAAAAAUUUUAGCUUGAGUAUACUUCUGGUUUCCAAGAUACAGCGUUGCAAAGUAUAAGCUUUAAAAAUUCGCAUAUUUUCAAAUAUCUUACCUUAAAAAACAACUCCAUCGGAUAUAAUAUGUUAUUUUGAGACAUUUUACCUACAGUCAGUCUUAUAUUUCAAUCCAUAUUCCUACUGAUACGGUAAUACUGCUGAUUCUCUUGAUACAGCGUUGCAAAGUUGACACCAAAAACAUAUAAAAAUUGCUCAUCUUUGUAAGUUUCUGAAUGAAGAAACGAACUUAUUGAUCACCAAAAGAUCUGUGUAUAGUGUUUAGAUGUAAUUUUAUAAUAUGAUAGGUCUUCCGUAUAAGCCUUACCGCAAGCGUAAGUACAGAUUUAAUGAUACAGCGUUGCUAAGUUUAUACAUUUCAGCUUUAAAAAUGUUUAUUUUUCUAAGUUCCGCGUUUAAAAAACGACUUUCGUGGAUCUUCUUUAGAAUUUGAAGCAUAAAAUCUACCAAAUGUGUUAUUUGUAGCUCUAUGUUGCAUUUAAACAGGGAUACUUUGAUUGUUGGUAAUACAGCGUUGCCAAGCUAACAACUUUAAACUCUAGAAAUUAUUAUU
rnacentral:lncRNA from 1 species